UACAGCCAUAUCACAGUGAAACACUGGUUCUUGUAUGAUCACAGAAGUUAAGCAAAAUCAGGCCUGAUCAUUACCUAGAUGGGUGACCACUUACGAAUUCUAGGUGUUGUAAG